ACGGGUAGCCGGCCUGAGAGGGYGACCGGCCACACUGGGACUGAGACACGGCCCAGACUCCUACGGGAGGCAGCAGUGGGGAAUAUUGCACAAUGGGCGAAAGCCUGAUGCAGCRACGCCGCGUGAGGGAUGACGGCCUUCGGGUUGUAAACCUCUUUCAGYASGGAAGAAGCGAAAGUGACGGUACCUGCAGAAGAAGCGCCGGCUAACUACGUGCCAGCAGCCGCGGUAAUACGUAGGGYGCAAGCGUUGUCCGGAAUUAUUGGGCGUAAAGAGCUUGUAGGYGGCUUGUCGCGUCUGSCGUGAAAAUCCAGGGCUUAACUCUGGACSUGCKKYGGGUACGGGCAGGCUAGAGKGWGGYAGGGGAGACUGGAACUCCUGGUGUAGCGGUGAAAUGCGCAGAUAUCAGGAAGAACACCGAUGGCGAAGGCRGGUCUCUGGGCCWUUMCUGACACUGAGAAGCGAAAGCRUGGGGAGCGAACAGGAUUAGAUACCCUGGUAGUCCAUGCCGUAAACGUUGGGCRCUAGGUGUGGGSGACAUUCCACGWUGUCUGCGCCGUAGCUAACGCAUUAAGUGCCCCGCCUGGGGAGUACGG
rnacentral:rRNA from 1 species